AUGGAAGUACUCCUCCGUCGACUCGGCGGCCGCCAUCCUCGCCACGUAGUCCCUCGUCAACUUGUCGUCGAGCAGCGCCUGGUCGGAGACGAAGAGAGUCCUGUUGCUGAGCACGUCCCGGUAGUAGCUGAGGUCGAACUCGUAGGGGCUCUUGGGGUCCAUGUCCACGCGCGUCUCGUCUUUCUCGUUGCCUGGCUCGCACCUCUCCCGCAGCUCCGGUGCGUACGCCUUGUCCAGCGUCGGGUCCUGCACCCCUUUGCCGCUGUUGUUGUAGAGCCGGUCCGGCGCGAACGCGUUGCACUGCGCCCUCCCGAUCGUGUGGCUCCCCGACAGCACGACAAGGUCCUUCCACGACAGGUUCUUCACGCUGAAGUAGGUCUUGAGGUCCACAAUGUUGGCGUUCGGCGGCGCCAGGUCGUUCUCGGCGUCGACGCACGACGACACCUUGCCGUCCCGGCGUCCGGUCUCCACCGGGAACCGUGGCCCGUUGGUCUGGAACAAGGAGGCGGUUUGGUCAGGUAA
rnacentral:rRNA from 1 species